CCCGAAGUCUCAAAAUCAUAAUAUAAUAAUUCACUUAUAAUAUUCAAAAUAUUUAUAUACUAAAAAUUAUAAGUUUUUUUUUGGUAGCACGCUAUCCGCUUCGUUUAUUUCAUUUAAAAAUAAACUUAGCUGGAAAUGUGAAUCAACUAGGAUUCCAACUUGGGCCUCAGGUACCAAUCAUCAAACUCUUUGCCACUUGCUCUAAGAAUGGUUAAUAAAAAUUAUAAGUUUUUAGCUUUUUGAUGACUCAGUAAUGAAUUUUUAAAAUUUGUAAUAUUUGAUA
rnacentral:lncRNA from 1 species